UAACUUUGAGCGGUGGAUCACUCGGCUCGUGCGUCGAUGAAGAGCGCACCCAGCUGCCUGAAUUAAUGU
rnacentral:rRNA from 1 species